CCGAUCGACGAUGAUGAAGUGAUCUCCUACAUCGUCGUCGGGCUAACAUGGAAUACCAGCCCCUCGUCUCCGCAAACGAGGCCCGCAUUGACACCAUCAGCCUCGAGGACCUCUUUGCUCAGAUGAGCAACUUUGAUC
rnacentral:snoRNA from 1 species